ACCGCAGAUGGUCCUCACAGCUGACGUCUCUACCCCUCUACCGGGUGGGAGCUGUAAAGGACUCACUGGGUCACACCGGGGCCUCUCGGGGUGUUUAGUAAACAAACAGGCUGCAUGGGGGCGGCCACGUGCCCCUCACAGGGUCUUUAUGCUGUGGGAACACACAACCGCGCUGCACCCAAUCAGCACAGGGUUGUGUGUUGGGCUCUUGGCUGCACUUUUGUCUCCCAAAGGUCCACGUCCCUGGAGGACGGAACGUGAGCUCCCAGGACUGGCCUCCGUGAUGCAAAUUUACGCAAGCUGGGUCUUUUUGUAAAACCUCUGCCUGCAGUGGUUGCCGGCUGUGUGCGUACAACCCUACAACCCGUGCCUGCCUAAAUCGUGUCACUGCAGGCUCCUGGUUCGACACCCGGGCUACUGAUGCCCAGAGAAGGGAGGUGACUGGGAGCCUAGUCAUGGCACAUCAUGAGGGCGCCCGAGGACUCCUGACCCCCUGGCGAGGGGGUCCUCUGUGAUGGCAUGUCACAGCCCUGGGCUCUCGGGGAUCUCCUCUCCCCUCACGCCGGUGGGAGAGGAAGGGAUCCCAAACGGCACCCUGUCCACCUCCGACGCCAACCGUCCCCUGGUGCAGAGGAAACCAGCUUUCUGCUGGUCGGAGGAGCGUUUCAGAAGAGGAAGCAAAAACCGAGCUGGGGCACUUUCAGCUGGGACCCCGGACCCUCCAAGCUGCUGGUAGGAGGCGUUGCCUCGCAUCUCCUUUGUGAUAAACUGUCUUCUGCACCAAACCGUGAGCUCGCCGAGGAACGUUACCGGAUGAGUCACUAUUUGUAACGGGCUCAAAACCAUGCCUGCUAGUGCUAAACGUGACUUAAUUGUUGAAAAGUUGAAUGAAAAGAACUGCAUAUAGUUUGAGUUUUCACCCUCUCUUUGGGGAGCAGCCCAGUGGGCUGCCAGUGGAUGACGUCUAAGGGGAUGAAGGAGGCCCACAAAAUGCGGGUUACCAUGAUAAGGAAUGGAGGUCAUUGCAUAAGUCACAAAAGGCUUGACUUCUAGAGAAAUAUUUCGGUCAAUGCACUCUGAUUACCUUCACUGUGUCCCGGCCCCCUGGAGCCCCCAGCCCUCCUCAUGAUCCCUGAGCGAGGUUCUCCGGGGCUCUUCACAGGGCCUCUGCCUGUGAGGUCUGCUCGUGGAGCCCAUUCAGAGGUCUGCCGCCGGCCUGUUUUGUAGGAGGCCUGUCCUUCCGGCAGGUUUACAAGGCCUCGGAUGCACUUUCCCCCACGCAGGCUCAGCAAUGCACCCAUUAUCCUAUGUGUUUACCCUACGUUGGCUCAUCUAAUUAUUUUUGCCAUCUAGGCCUUGUGGGAUUGAUCACAGUUUGUGAAUUAGUGGGGCCUGAAAUCAUCAGGUUUUUCAGGAUCUUUAAUUAUCUGUAAAGGUGGCAGGAUAAUUGCCUCAUUUAAGGCAAGACAAAGGGAAUUAGUUAAACACAAGAAAAAGAGACACAGAGGUUGGGUCUGAGAAAGGGUUAAGUCUCUACAAAUGUGGAUUCACAUUCAGGACUGCACCCAAGGGCCGGUUCUGAUCCCAACAGGUCUCUGCUUAUGAGCCCUGCCUACGUGUGAUGGCCCUCGUCGAUUUUUGUGCCAUGGAGGCCCAGGCUAUGGAAAAAUCUCUUACAGAGCCUGUCCAGGCUCCGAUGCUCCAGGGAAGCCACAGGCAAAGGAAAGUCUCUGUUAAGAGCCGUGGUGUUACAUCUACCUGCUUGACUUUCUGCCCUUGGCUAUCCCAGGAUGGACUGAACUUGUAAACUCAGAGCAUAUCUGUGGACUCAGGACAUACCUGUUUUACAAGGGAAAGCAUCUCAGGUGAAUGGGUGUGCAUAUGUAUCUACCUGUGUUGUGCCCACUUUGACUCUGUCCCAAGGAUACCAACAACUGAGGCUCUGUUUCCCCCUCACCUGGCCUCUAUCUUGGGCCUUGGCAACUCUGUUUUAGUUGAGCUUCACUGCAGUGGCACACCUUGCGUUUCCUCCUCCAGUCUCCUCUCAGCAAAGAGUCACUGUGUUUGCCUGAACCCCUUCCCCAAAUGCCUGUUUGCUAGAUGGCCUCCAGGUCUUGCGCAUCCCCAUCUGCUCAACGUUAUGCCCAUCAGAUCUUGGUUAAGUCAGUUGGUUUGCCUAAUUUAUAGAUGAUGUCGCAGUCUAAGGCCAACAUGGAGGGCCAGAGGGAACCAGCCUUCAGGAAGCUCCUCCCGUCUUCUGUCUACUUUAGUAAUUCUUAAAUAGCUUCUGUGAACAACCAGCAUGCUCAUAUUAAAUUAAAAUGUGAAUGUCUAUUUUGGAGGAAUUUUGUGUGUUCUGCCUCCCCAGCUCCUGUUACAAGCUCAUCAUCAUACUCUAUAGCUCUGCUUAUUUUGUUGAACUUCCCUUUCACAGAUGGAGAUAUUGAAAGAAUUAUUGAUCACGAAAUACUGAGCAAUCAGGCCUUCCUUCCCACUGUGUGGAAAUACAUCUUUUCAAAGAAUCACCUAAUCACAGUCAUUUGGUCAGAACAAAUUUAUGAUUAUUUUCUUAUUAACGUGAAAGGAGUAACACUGGUAAAUUUUCUAGGUGAAUGAAAGUAAUUCAAUAAGUCAAUUUAAUCUUUCUGUUUGGUUGCACUUUUGGUAAGUUUUAUAGAUCCUUAUUCCUUUUGACAUGAGUACUUUGUUACUUCCGUGAUGGUUAAUUUUGUGUGUCAGCUUGACUGGGCUAAAGGAUGCUCUUAUAGUUGGUAAAACAUUCUGUUUAGAUGUGUCUGCGAGGGAGUUUCUGAAAGAGAUGAGCAUUUGAAUCAAUAGACUAAUGAGGAAGAUGGCCCUCCCCAGUGUGGGUGGGCCUCAUCUGAGUAGUUGAGGGCCUGAAUAGAACAGAAAGGGAAAGGAUAGGCAAAUUUAUUAUUAUUUAUUUUAUUUUUUUCUUGCUCAAGCUGAACUUGGGCAUGUGUCUUCUCCUGACUUAGACAUCAGUGUUCCUAGGGCUUAGGCCUUUGGACUCAGAUUAGAUUACACCCCUGGCUUUGGUGGCUAUCCAAGAUGCAGAAGAAGAUCAUGAGCCCUCCUGGCCUCCAUAAUUAUGCCAGCAAAUUCCUAUAAUAAAUCUGUGUAUGUGUGUGUCUAUAUAAUUAUAACAACAUAUUAUGUAAUUAUACAAC